rnacentral:rRNA from 1 species
CGUGUAGGCGGCUUUGCAAGUCAGAGGUGAAAUGUCUCGGCUCAACCGAGGACCUGCCUUUGAAACUACAGAGCUUGAGGCCGUGAGAGGAGACUGGAAUUCCUAGUGUAGCGGUGAAAUGCAUAGAUAUUAGGAAGAACACCAGUGGCGAAGGCGAGUCUCUGGCACGGUUCUGACGCUGAGGCGCGAAAGCCAGGGGAGCGAACG